AUAGGUUUUGUACAUAGCCAACAUGGCUGCCGGCGGACAAUUUGAAGGAUGAUUUUGGAGGGUCAAUGUUUUAUUCAUGAGAAUGACGUCAAAAUACGCAUAAUGCACUUGUAUGAUUGGAUUAAACGCUAAUGUUUUAUUCAUGUUCUCAUGCAUUAAACAUUUUUUUCCGUCCCACAAUUCCCUACGAUAUCUGUGCGAAGUGUCGUUCUUUUGGACUCUGCGAAUUUGAAGUUUCUGAAACGAAAUAGCUAGACUAAUUAACUGUUUAUAGAAUUGAUGUUCGAAAUCAUGGUUUCUGAGUGAACUUCAUUGGAGCGGAAAAUCUUGGAGGGAACAUCAAUACUAUUCUAAUGACAUUCCAUAGGAAUAAAAAUCCAAUGGGACCAAGUUCUUAGCAGCUCACACCUAGUCAGAAGUACAAAAUUGAGAACCAUGCCGAUCAGCAAGUGUUAGUUACAAUCUAAUGAGGAACAGGAUAUCUGAAUGGAAAAAUUGCAAGGUUUCCCACUUCCUAAGCUGUUUAAGUACUGGUAUCACAACAUAAGUGCCAAGAAGAGAUAUGAAACGGUCUCAAAAUUUUUGCUGGUGCCCCCCUCGAUGCCGUGACCCACGGUACGCCACUGCAAGUCUUCAUAAAUUAUGUAGGGUUAUUAAGUUGCAUUUAUUGUUAUCUUCAUUUAAAAAAAAUGUGAAAUGGGUUACCACUGCAAUAAUAUAUAAAUAGACUAUAUUUCAAAAAUAGAUUGAAUUCUAACCACAGUGACAGUAGACAAAUCAAAUUUUGUUAAUGAUUCGCUAAUGUAUUGAUUGGGGAAGGCACUCUUUAGGAUUCUGGCAUUGUGUCCCACCCCCCCCCCCCCCCUUAUGAGGAGUGCUCUCACAUCAGUAGACUAUUUCUUGUCAGCAAAUUUGAAAGGAAUUUACCAAUUUUUUUGAGUGGCAAACUUUUGUGGAAGAAAAUAAACGAAUAUCAAAGGUUUUUAUGCUCUUUUAUGGAAUAUUAACUAUAGGCUCAUCGAGAUCCUUUGAAUGAAAUUUUAACAAACAUUGUGCAAUGUAGAAAAAUGUACUUAAUCCUAUUUUUGUACAUUUAUAUACCCACCCCAUACUACCCUUACCCAGUAACAGCCAUUUUUAGCUAUGCAUUGCCUUCACUUUUUAAAAUACAAUUUAAUGCUUGGUAGAUGCUAAUUAUUAUUUUUAUGUUAAUGUCAAUGUUUUAGAAAAUGGAUUCCUUAAUAAACAUGUUAAUUUUGAAUUGAAUUUUUUUAUCUUGGUAAUUUUCAUUUAUCAAUUAAUUGUGAUGAUGUAUUGCUUCUGAGCUGUUAUGCACAAAUGGCACAAGAUGUUGCACUGUACUGAAAUGUGAUGAUGCCACUGUUACAUGAGAUCAAACAGCAGUCAAUUAAAAUAUUAUUCAAGAAAAAUAAGGAUAAGAAUGGGAAAGAAAGUAAAUGACAGGAGAAUUAUUUGCUUGUAUGCAUAUAGUUAUGUCAGUUUCUGAGAGAGAGAGAGACAGACAGAAAGAGAGAGAGAUUGGGGGGGGGGUGAAAGUUCAGUUUGUUUUGAAAGAAGCAAUUAUAAGACCUUACUGUUCAUAACGGGGGGGGGGGGGGCUAAUUAUUUCUCCAAAUUUUUUAAACCUGCAUAUAAAAUUCAUUUUUUCUUUCCAAAUGAAAAUUACACCAGAUUCAUUUUCAGUUGAAAAUAAAAAAAGAAAUAGCCUACGAUCGGUUUGCUCUCUUGCCUAUUUAAUUUUGAGAACCCCCUCCCCCCUAAAAUAUGGUAUAUACCUAGGUCAUGAUUAUUGAUGUUUGACAUAGAAGUCGCCAUUUAAAAUUAAGUGCUCCGAGGACUGCUAUUCAUAAUAGGACUUAUAUUGGAGACUACAAUUAUGGAAAAGAAUUUGAUUUGUUAUUAUCUUUGUUUAUAUUAUGAAAAGAGGUUCAUUUCGUUUUCUGCAAUAAAAAGAAAAAAGGGUUCCAGAAACUUAAAGAGAUGUCAUCGUAUAUGGCAACAUUUUCUUUGGGAACCUCCUCUGUAAUAUUUUUUAGCAAAGAUCCUGGCCAUUUGCAGCUAAAACAAAGCAAAGAUACAGUAAUAAUCGUAACAAGCAAUAACAAAUAGAUCAUUAAAAUAGAUGAAUAAUAAAACUCUGAGGAGGAAAAAAACGAAUGAUCUGACAUGAUGUAAUCACUGACAGACACCAUAAACGAUAUUAAUCAGGUCGCGCAUUAUGCUAAUUAGUGACAAAAUACUAAUUUACAUAUUUUUACGCUAUGCGCGAAGGACGUUCCGUGACCACGCCUUCAUUUCGCUGGUGUACCAAAACAGUGGCGGUGUCCAUAGGCUUGUAUACGAAAAAUGGGAGCAGUGUGCACUUUUGACCCUCCGAAAUUUUCUUCAAUUCUGACCGGAUGCAGAAGCGGAGUUUCACCCCCCUG